CAAGACUUCGUUGGGAAAGGACUUCAUCAAGAGUUGGGAAGACGAAGAUCGAGAAAAUGGUUGGAGUAAUCAGGAACGAGCAUGGACCAGUUCGUAUUAUGGGAAAUCAGAGUGUUAUUAUAGAGCAACAGUAAGAGAUGAUCCAGCGAUCAUUCAACUGAAGACGAUUGUGGAGGCCUUGAGGAGCACACUUAAGGAACGAUUGUGGACAGCGUAAAGAUAUAUGGAGACGAGUGGAGAAUGUCGCGAAGAUGAGCAAUUGCGCAACUAAGAAUUCGAUGACGAAUUCUAUUAGGGGGGGGAAGAAUGUAGAAACCCGUUAAAAAAAAAAAAAAGAACGAAAAUGGUCGAGUAUCAUUGUGGUGGUCGAGUUGCGGGUGAUAAUGAUCGAUCGAGAAGUUUUGAAGUACGAGGUGGGCGAAGAAGUUAUCAUGGGUGAACUAUGAGUCGAAUAAGUUGCUCAACAACAGUUAGAAGAUGUCUUAGAUUGAUCAGACGAACGUUUUGGAAGCACAACUUUUUUGGAAGCAUGACGUUUCAGAAGCUCGACGUUUUUGAAGACCAACGUUUCUUCAUCACGAAGUUUUCUCGGAAAAUCUUCGUAUCAGUAAAAUAUUAUUCUGGAGACAUAAUAAGUUUGAAGCAGGACGGGAAUUAAGCACGACGGGAAGCAAGCACGACAGGAUCAAAGCACGACGGGAAAACCCGAAGUUGGGCGAAAACCCUAAUUUCGGUAUUAUGGAUUUCUUUGAGGAAGCCGGAGGCUCGGGAAAUAUUUUUACAGGAUAGCAGAAUUCAUCUGGAGUCUAUUAAAAAUAUUU
rnacentral:lncRNA from 1 species